rnacentral:rRNA from 1 species
GUGGGGAAUAUUCCGCAAUGGACGAAAGUCUGACGGAGCAACGCCGCGUGAGUGAUGAAGGUUUUCGGACUGUAAAGCUCUGUUGUUUAGGACGAAAGUGCCUGUUGCGAACAGUUACAGGUAUUGACGGUACUGAACGAGGAAGCCACGGCUAACUACGUGCCAGCAGCCGCGGUAAUACGUAGGUGGCAAGCGUUGUCCGGAAUUAUUGGGCGUAAAGAGCAUGUAGGCGGGAAUCUAAGUCUGUUGUGAAAAGGCGGGGCUCAACCCCGUAUGGCGAUGGAAACUGGAUUUCUUGAGUGCAGGAGAGGAAAGGGGAAUUCCCAGUGUAGCGGUGAAAUGCGUAGAUAUUGGGAGGAACACCAGUGGCGAAGGCGCCUUUCUGGACUGUGUCUGACGCUGAGAUGCGAAAGCCAGGGUAGCGAACGGGAUUAGAUACCCGAGUAGUCC